GGUGAUGAGGGCUGUUCUUGUUCUCUUGUGAGCCAGCUGUGGCCACUCUUCCAGAGGACCCUCUCCCCAUGCCUGGCCUGGCUGGCAGCCUUCCUGACCUGCCCAGGGUGGUAUCUACCACACACUCCAAAGCUGGCCUUUUGCUAGCUCAUCCUGGUGGAGGACCUCACACCCAGAAGAAGUGACCUACAGACAUCUUGGCAACCAGAUACAGCCCUUGUCCUGCCACCUCUUGCCUGGGCGAGACCCACCAGCGGAUGCCCCGCCUUCCAACACGCAGCCUGACCCUCCCUAAAUCUUCCUCCUGCAGCUGGAGCUCCACAUCAGGAAACACUCUGGUUACUUCUUUCUCAACAGCAGUGCCACAGAUGGCAUCAGGUGGCCUACCAGGAGGCCAGGGCCGUCACCAUGGGGAGGUUCCGCGUGAUUGAGGAGUGCUGCAGUCAGGCCAGCUUCAGAGACUUUUCCCGGACCCAGCGAGGCCUGGGUUGAUUCGGCGCUUGGCGUGUGGUGGGGACUCAGACGGUGUGGCCCUGUGGACAGGCU